AGUCAGAGGCGAUGAAGGACGUGCUAAUCUGCGAUAAGCGUCGGUAAGGUGAUAUGAACCGUUAUAACCGGCGAUUUCCGAAUGGGGAAACCCAGUGUGUUUCGACACACUAUCAUUAACUGAAUCCAUAGGUUAAUGAGGCGAACCGGGGGAACUGAAACAUCUAAGUACCCCGAGGAAAAGAAAUCAACCGAGAUUCCCCCAGUAGCGGCGAGCGAACGGGGAGCAGCCCAGAGCCUGAAUCAGUAUGUGUGUUAGUGGAAGCGUCUGGAAAGGCGCGCGAUACAGGGUGACAGCCCCGUACACAAAAAUGCACAUAUUGUGAGCUCGAUGAGUAGGGCGGGACACGUGGUAUCCUGUCUGAAUAUGGGGGGACCAUCCUCCAAGGCUAAAUACUCCUGACUGACCGAUAGUGAACCAGUACCGUGAGGGAAAGGCGAAAAGAACCCCGGCGAGGGGAGUGAAAAAGAACCUGAAACCGUGUACGUACAAGCAGUGGGAGCACGCUUAGGCGUGUGACUGCGUACCUUUUGUAUAAUGGGUCAGCGACUUAUAUUCUGUAGCAAGGUUAAC
rnacentral:rRNA from 1 species